GAGCUCCGGAAGAUAGAGCAGAUGUGAACAACAGAAAGAGGGCCUCUCUCAGGCUGCUUGAUGAAAACUGAAGCCCACUGGAAAAGUGAAGAGAAUCUCUGCAACAAAGGCACAUCAGACCACCUUGGUUGCAAGGAAAGGGGAGACCCGGGUUGCGAGCAUUCCCUGGAUAAGUCCCUGUGGCAGAACAGCAUACAAUGAGCACCCAGAAGAUCCAAGGCCAAGCAAGCCAGGAAAGAACAGGUGGGUGCUAAAAGCAGACAGAAGAGGCCACCAAAUCCUGUACCUCCUUUUUCUCUUUUCUAAUUAUUGUUCUCAUUUGCCAGAUGACAUAAAGGGAACUCAGCUGAUUGUGUGGCCAGACCCCAUAGCAGCUCAGAUUUCAGCACAGGCUCCUGUUCCUCCACUCUCCUCCACCCUUUGUCAGGACUGGAUCCCUUCCCAUCUGGGAUCUGCUGAGGACAGGACGUGCCCUCCAACAACCCCUUUCCAGUACAGCUCAGCAAACAGCUGA
rnacentral:lncRNA from 1 species